GACAGAGGGUGCAAACGUUGCUCGGAUUUACUGGGCGUAAAGCGCAUGCAGGCGGUCUGAUAAGUCGGGUGUGAAAGCCCGGGGCUCAACCCCGGAAGUGCACUCGAUACUGCCAGACUCUGGGUACUGAAGAGGAGAGCGGAAUUCCCGGUGUAGAGGUGAAAUUCGUAGAUAUCGGGAGGAACACCAGUGGCGAAGGCGGCUCUCUGGGCAGAUACCGACGCUGAGAUGCGAAAGCGUGAGGAGCAAACAGG
rnacentral:rRNA from 1 species